rnacentral:misc_RNA from 1 species
AAGUCGUAACAAGGUUUCCGUAGGUGAACCUGCGGAAGGAUCAUUAACACGUAUCCAAACGUUAAAACCCCCCCCGUGAACCUUCAUCUCUGGUAAAUCAUAGCCCGGAAAGUAGUUUGAUUCAGAGACCUCUGGCCCGUGCGAACAUUGGAACAGUUACAAUCGACUGCGGUAGUUCUAUAGGCAUUGUUUCCCCAAGCAGUCAGUGUCUGAAAGUGUCAUUGAUUGUGCAAGGAUAGCGCUUCACGAUUCCUGCAGACCGUACACUCGGGCAGGAGCUAUGCCAAAGGGUCCCCAUGCCCCCUUAUAACCCCACAGUUUAAUGUGAAGCUCAAUGUAAUACAUUGGGUAAAAAAACCGAACAACUGUUAACAAUGGAUAUCUUGGUUCUC